UCUAUGAUGUCGCUAUGGGUCUGACGUGACUCGACAGCCUAAGACAACAAAAGUAACCAGAAUUGAGGAAAGCCAAGUAAAUGGGGUGGUAUAUUCUUGCAUCACUAGAGAGAAGGCUUCUGUCUUUUCCUUCCGAUCAAUAACUUCUCAUCCGAAGGAUACUUGGACGGAAAGAAGGCCACGUUCCAGAGAAGCGGCUCAGAAAGAGAAAAGAUCACAGGGUCCUCUGCUGGCUCCCAGUGAAGGAGCUCCCAGAUGAAUGUUCCCUUCACUGAAAGAACCGUCUUGGGGUGCCCUGCUAC